rnacentral:rRNA from 1 species
AAGGAUCAUUAUUGAAUUAAUGUAGAGUUUGGUUGUAGCUGGCUCCUAAUUAAACUUGGGGGCAUGUGCACACCUUUCUCUUUCAUCCCAUACACACCUGUGCACCUGUGAGACAGAUGUUUUGUGGGGGGGAAGGAACUUUAUUGGACCUUCUACUCCCCCUUGACUUCUGUCUACUUAAUUCAUAUAAACUCAAUUUAUUUUAAAACGGAUGUAAUGGAUGUAACACAUCUAAUACUAAGUUUCAACAACGGAUCUCUUGGCUCUCGCAUCGAUGAAGAACGCAGCGAAAUGCGAUAAGUAAUGUGAAUUGCAGAAUUCAGUGAAUCAUCGAAUCUUUGAACGCACCUUGCGCUCCUUGGUAUUCCUUGGAGCAUGCCUGUUUGAGUAUCAUGAAAUCUUCAAAGUCAAACCUUUUGUUAAUUCAAUUGGUUCUGCUUUGGUAUUGGAGGAUUAUUGCAGCUUCACACCUGCUCCUCUUUGUGCAUUAGCUGGAUCUCAGUGUUAUGCUUGGUUCCACUCAGCGUGAUAAGUUAUCUAUCGCUGAGGACACCCUGUUAAAAAGGGGUGGCCAAGGUAAAUGCAGAUGAACCGCUUCUAAUAGUCCAUUGACUUGGACAAUAUCUAAUUUAUGAUCUGAUCUCAAAUCAGGU